UGCUGUUCCACCCAAUGCAACUCUCCAUAUUACUCUGGAGUUGGUUUCAUGGAAAACUGUGUCAGAGGUGAUCAGUGACAAGAAGGUUAUAAAGAAAAUCCUAAAGGAGGGCGAGGGAUAUGAGCGUCCAAGUGGCGGAGCUGUCGUCAAAUUAAAAUUGAUUGGGAAGUUGCAAGAUGGAACAGUAUUUCUGAAGAAGGGGCACAAUAACGAGGAUGAACUGUUUGAAUUUAAAACAGAUGAGGAGCAAGUAAUUGAUGGGCUUGAUAGAGCUGUGAUGUUAAUGAAGAAGGGUGAGGU
rnacentral:misc_RNA from 1 species